rnacentral:rRNA from 1 species
UACGGAGGGUGCAAGCGUUAUCCGGAUUCACUGGGUUUAAAGGGUGCGUAGGUGGGCAAGUAAGUCAGUGGUGAAAUCUCCGGGCUUAACCCGGAAACUGCCAUUGAUACUAUUUGUCUUGAAUACUGUGGAGGUCAGCGGAAUAUGUCAUGUAGCGGUGAAAUGCUUAGAUAUGACAUAGAACACCAAUUGCGAAGGCAGCUGGCUACACAAAUAUUGACACUGAGGCACGAAAGCGUGGGGAUCAAACAGGG